rnacentral:rRNA from 1 species
CAUUAGAUACAGAACCAAUCCCUUCGGGGUUUUUGGAUGAUUCAUAAUGAAGGAACGGAGCGUACGACUUGUGUCGACGCUGUUUCAUUCAAGUUUCUGACCUAUCAGCUUCCGACGGUAGGGUAUUGGCCUACCGUGGCAUUGACGGGUAACGGAGAAUUAGGGUUCGAUUCCGGAGAGGGAGCCUUAAAAACGGCUACCACAUCUAAGGAAGGCAGCAGGCGCGCAAAUUACCCAAUCCUGAUACAGGGAGGUAGUGACAAGAAAUAACACAGAGAGCGCUUAUUGCGUUUCUCUUUGGAAUGAGUAGAAUUUAAAUCUCUUUUCGACUAUCAAUUGGAGGGCAAGUCUGGUGCCAGCAGCCGCGGUAAUUCCAGCUCCAAUAGCGUAUAUUAAAGUUGUUGCGGUUAAAAAGCUCGUAGUUGGAUUUCUGUCGAGAACGCGCGGUCCACGCUUUGCGUGAGCAUCUGUGUCGGUCUUGGCAUCCUCUAGUGGAUCGUUUCUGCGCUUGAUUGCUUGGAGCGGAACG